rnacentral:rRNA from 1 species
UACGAAGGGGGCUAGUGUUGCUCGGAAUCACUGGGCGUAAAGGGUGCGUAGGCGGGUCUUUAAGUCAGGGGUGAAAUCCUGGAGCUCAACUCCAGAACUGCCUUUGAUACUGAAGAUCUUGAGUUCGGGAGAGGUGAGUGGAACUGCGAGUGUAGAGGUGAAAUUCGUAGAUAUUCGCAAGAACACCAGUGGCGAAGGCGGCUCACUGGCCCGAUACUGACGCUGAGGCACGAAAGCGUGGGGAGCAAACAGG